GCCGGGCGCGGUGGCUCACGCCUGUAAUCCCAGCACUUUGGGAGGCCGAGGCGGGUGGAUCACCUGAGGUCAGGAGUUUGAGACCAGCCUGGCCAACAUGGUGAAACCCUGUCUCUA
rnacentral:SRP_RNA from 1 species